AUGCGGCUGAAGCUGGGCUUCCUGCUGCGCGCCGUGCUGCUGGCGGGCAGCUUCUUGGGGCUGCUGCUGCUCUGGUCCUCGCUGUCGCCCCGCGCCGAGGAGGCAGAUCUCCCGGGACGGACGCGGGAUGACAAAGAAGACAACAGACCCAUGCCAAACAAAGGAGACCAUGGACUAGGAAAUGAGAAGUUCAAACCCGUGGUACCUUGGCCUCAUGUUGAAGGUGUGGAAGUGGACUUGGAAUCCAUUCGAAGGAAAAAUAAGGCCAAAAAUGAACUAAAUCAUCAUGGUGGUGAUAACAAACAGCAGAACAUCAUCCAGAGGCAGUAUCUCACAUUUAAACCUCAGACAUUUGUAUACCCAGAUCCUGUUUUACGACCUGGAGUCCUUGGUAAUUUUGAACCCAAAGAGCCUGAGCCUCACGGAGUUGUUGGUGGCCCUGGAGAGGAAGCAAAGCCAUAUGUUUUAGGACCAGAUUACAAAGAAUCCAUUCAAGCCAGCAUUAAAGAGUUUGGGUUUAAUAUGGUGGCAAGUGAUAUGAUCUCACUAGAUCGGAGCGUUAAUGACUUGCGUCAAGAAGAAUGCAAAUACUGGCAUUAUGACGAUAACCUGCUCACCUCCAGCGUUGUCAUUGUCUUCCAUAAUGAAGGAUGGUCCACGCUCAUGAGGACAGUCCACAGUGUCAUUAAGAGAACACCAAGGAAAUACUUGGCAGAAAUUGUGCUGAUUGAUGAUUUUAGCAACAAAGCACACUUACAAGAGAGGCUGGAUGACUAUAUUAAGCAGUGGAAUGGCCUUGUAAAGGUAUUUCGAAAUGAGAGGAGAGAAGGUUUGAUCCAAGCUAGAAGUAUUGGAGCCCAGAAGGCUAAACUAGGACAGGUUUUGGUUUACCUUGAUGCCCAUUGUGAGGUGGGAAUUAAUUGGUAUGCACCACUUAUAGCUCCUAUAUCUAAGGACAGAACUACAUGUACUGUACCUCUAAUAGAUUACAUAGAUGGGAAUGAUUAUUCCAUUGAGCCACAACAAGGUGGGGAUGAAGAUGGUUUUGCCAGAGGGGCCUGGGACUGGAGUUUGCUAUGGAAACGAAUUCCGUUAAACCACAAGGAAAAGUCCAAACGAAAGCAUAAAACUGAACCUUAUCGAUCCCCUGCAAUGGCUGGUGGAUUGUUUGCCAUUGAACGUGAUUUCUUCUUUGAACUAGGUCUCUAUGAUCCAGGGCUUCAAAUUUGGGGUGGCGAAAAUUUUGAAAUUUCUUACAAGAUCUGGCAGUGUGGGGGAAAAUUGCUGUUCGUUCCCUGUUCUCGUGUUGGACACAUCUAUCGUCUUCAGGGCUGGCAAGGAAAUCCACCCCCUGUGUAUGUUGGGUCUUCUCCUACAUUAAAGAACUACGUCAGAGUUGUAGAGGUAUGGUGGGACGAAUACAAAGAUUACUUCUAUGCCAGUCGGCCGGAGACAAAAGCGCUACCCUAUGGAGAUAUAUCGGAGCUGAAAAAAUUCCGUGAAGAUCACAACUGCAAAAGUUUUAAGUGGUUUAUGGAAGAAAUAGCAUAUGAUAUAACUUCAUAUUAUCCCUUACCACCUAAAAACGUGGACUGGGGAGAGAUUAGAGGCUUUGAAACCUCUUACUGCAUCGACAGCAUGGGGCACACCAACGGUGGCUUUGUUGAGCUUGGCCCAUGCCACAGAAUGGGAGGAAAUCAGCUUUUCCGAAUCAACGAAGCUAAUCAACUCAUGCAGUAUGAUCAGUGCUUAACUAAAGGACCAGAUGGAUCCAAAAUUAUGAUUACACACUGUAAUCAGAAUGAAUACAAGGACUGGCAAUUCUUCAAGUCAACAGGUCAAUGAAGGUGACAAGCAUCAAAGUGCGUAAGGAGGAGUUAGAGCUGCGCAAACACCAAGAUGAAAAGGCAGGAGAAACUGUGAAAGAAAGUAGAACUGGAUGAAAGUAGAAGCCUUCUGGAAGAUUCUUGUGAGUUCAUAAGGAGGGGAGAUUUGGGAAAAGCUGACCAGAAGAAAAAGCACACCCAGCUCUGGAAGCACUUCUAGUCAUGCUGCUCUUUCAAUUGCACUGAGGAAUGCACUGAAGUCCUGCCUGUCCUGAAGAUGCCGAGGAGCCUCUAAAGACCAAGCUAAUCAACUUGGCUAAGGAAGGGAAAGCUGUCUGUCCUGCUGUAUGUGCACAUGAAGGUAAGAUGGUGUGGGGUGUUGCUGAGGAAAACAAUUCUGUAACCCUAUAGCAGAGUGGGGUCUGGUUACUACUGAUAUUAAAGCUAUUGAGGAUACAGUAAUACUGAACUGGGUCAUUCCCAGUUGGAAAUAGGAAACACUCCUGCUUUUUUUUUUCUUUUCCUGCCAUAGUAUUGCAUUAUCUUCCAUGUGAUGAUUAUGAGGAAAAUGGAGUUCAUUCUCCAACCAUGUCAGGACCCUUUGUCUCUGAUGGACAAGCUAAAAAUGUUUUGAAUUAGGAUAAGAAUUGAAUGUAACAUUUGAACUUAAAAGCACAUGCAAGAUCAGAUCAAAAGUCCAGGCAACACAGCAGCCUGUCUCACUCAGUGGUCAGAAGGAUCAGUAUGGUCAAAGAACAUGGGGCAGAGUGAAAGGAUGCAGCAAGGAUACUUGUCUAAGAUUGUCCCUACUUCUGGCAUUAUAUAACUCAAGCACUUUCUGACUAGAAAUAGUAUUUUAUAUUUAAUAGUCCAAAAUUUGUCCAACUGCUGCUUGAAUCUACACAGGCUUUGGUCAUGCAUCAUCUGAUUUAUGCAAAGAGUUUGAAGGUUUCUGAACAGGCUUUCUGGCUCUGCAGUGCACUCUUCUGCAGUGACAAAUCAGUGAGAUAUAGGCGAAUUAUGAAGGCUUGUUAAAGGUCUUAAUUCCUGAACGAGUGGUCAGUGAUGGGUCCAUGCAGGGUUCAGCCAGCCAGGAGCUAGUUUGACUAGAGCUAGCAGCGCUGACAAUAACAUCAUCAACAGCUCAUUUUUGAAAAGGCCUUUUAGAAUGUUGUGAUCUUAUCCACACAAACAUCCCUCCAGCUCUGCUGGAAAACUGAUUUAUGGGUACAAACUUCACCAUUAGAUGUUUGGGCCAGGAAAUACUUAGAAUAGCCAUACAAUUUAUAGACGGAGCACUGGAUCUGCUGACUAUAAAGAUUUUUCUGGUGGUUGACUUCACAUUCAGUCCUGGAACAUCACAAGCCUCUCCAACAUUGAGGCUGAGGGGGAUAGAUGAUCACAGGACAGGAUAAUGAGAGCAACAUACAGGUUCACUCACUAACUGGUGCUGGCCUGUGACAAUUAAGUAACUUGAGGAAUUUGUGUAGGCAGUCAGCUUUUUGACCAGGUAGAUCUGAAUUUCAUGAUAUCCCACAGUUAGGAGACUUAAUGUUUCCCUGAAGGGCUGUGUCCAUUGGAAAAUGCAGCAGUGAGCUCGACAUCUGGGCUCUGUUAUGGGACUCUUUACAUUGGAUUCAAAUGGGAUUACGGAAAAGCAGACAGGUUGUGAUGCAGCUCAUAUAAGAGAUCCAGCAAUUUUGGAAAUGCAGAGGUUGCUGGAAAAACACAUAUAUUUCAAGAUGUGGACAGAAAUACAAGCCAAAAUGAGAAAAUAAACAGAAAAAUAAAUAUAUGCUAAGGGUGGUAAGGCAAGUGAAGCAGGAUCAGUGACAGUCACCACCACAGCAAAUAAUCCAUCUCUGAGCAAUAUGUACUGAAUUAUGUACCAGUACUAUAUACCAGAUGGCUAUGAUACACUCCUAUGAAAUGGUUCAAUAGGUCAUUGGCUAAUCAAAGGUAAAACUCCUAUUUGAUUUUUUUCUGAUUUUCUUUCCACACUCGUUUGCAACUUCAUUUGUGUUGUAGCAGUUCUAAAGCCUGUAUAUACUGCAGUCAGUCCCCAGGUCUGUAGCUGUUCUAAACAAGAUGCACUUGUGCACAUGUACACACACAAACACACACACACACACUCAUGCAAAUUUAGAAUUUUCCAGACCAUAGGUUUUGCUUUGGAAAAAUAAGACCGACUUUGUAAAUAGGCUUUGUUCUGAGAUGAUCUAAGAAAAAGGAAACUUUAUAUUCCUUUAGGAAGAUGAUAAGGCAAUACUACAUAUUUGGUUUGUCCUUAACUCUUUUACCUAAUAAUGCCUAACAUGCUAUUUGCUUUUCUAGCAAACAUUUGUUACAUCUUCACAGAGUUAUCUCUUACAGCUCCAGCAUCUCCUCCAGAGUAAUGUAAUGUAGUUUAUUGUCUACCCAUGUUACCUAUGACAUGAACAUUAAGCCUGCAUUUUCCUCUUUACAUGUGAGGGGCGAGCACAUAUCAAUUAAUACACUGUGUAUUAAUACCGUAUUUCACCUGCUUGUUUUACUAUGCUGUCACUUCAGGCUGCAGGCUGGCUUUACAGUUCUUCACUGUUAGCUCUUUUCAUUCAUGCAAGAUCUUAAAUAGUGACUUAUUUCUUUUAUAGGAAGUAGACCAGGCCAAACUCAAGUAGACCAGAACUAUUUGAUCUCCUUUACCUUCAAGUUCACAGAUUUCUUUGAAGAAUAUUUACAGAUCUGUGGAACACGAUUUCCUCUUGUGAAAUCACAAGUUCUAUUUAGCCAUUUGUCCAGCAGCUCUCGGCUGUACUGUGGCUCCUACCAACUUACCAUAUGGGCAUUAUUGGUCUGAAGCUCCCUGUAUCUCCACAGAAUGCUUUCUAAAAAUUAGUGUCAUUUUUGUGACCUUUAAUUCCUCUAGCACUAAGGCAGUUAGUUUUAAGUGAAAAAAAAUAUAAAGUAUGGUUCAUAGUUCAGCCAUUUCAGCAUUUGAGUUUCCUUAGAACUUCUGGAUGAAUACCAUCUGUCCUGUCAUUUUGUUUCAAGACCUUUUACACUUGGAUUUGAGACAGAUGCUUCACCAUGCCUCUUCCAUUAUAAAGUUGUGUCAUGAAAACUUCCUGAAGCUUCUCUAGAAGGUUAAAAAAGAAGUUUUCUUUUUCUGAAAUCUUCUCUAGUCAUGCUACUGUAUCUUGAGCAUCUAUUGUCCCUAGGACAGUUUGGCAGCCCUCUUGGUUCUGAGAAUGCCCUGGUUUUGGAGGAGUUAGAGUUAAUUCUUUUCCUAGUAGCUGGUAUAGUGCUGUGUAUUGGAUUUAGAAUGAAAAUAAUGUUGAUUACACACUGAUGGUUUAGUUGUUGCUGAGCAGUGUUUACACUAAGUCAAGGACCUUUCAACUUCUCAUGCUGCCCUGCCAGCAAGGAGGCUGGAGGUACAUGAGAAGCUGGAAGGGGACACAGCUGGGACAGCUGACAUCCGCUGACCAAACAGAUAUUCCAUGCUGCAUGGCUCAGCAUAUAACCAGGAUGAAAGCUGGCUUAGGGCCACUGCUUGAGAACUGGUCGAUGGUGAGAAAUUAUCUUUCAUUUGCAUCACUUGUUUGU